UAGCUCAGCUCAAGAUUGUUCAAAGAAAUUCUAGCGCCUUAUAAUCUUAGUAUUUGAGCUGUGUUAGUUACAGAUGGUUAAAUAGAAUUUUGAGAUGAAUUUUCAAGUCUGACAUUUAUAAUUUACUAAUAACUGAAUUUUACUAUUAUCUUCACGUAAAAUCAAAUGCGAACGUUUGAACGAGAUUACACAAAUCGGGUCGGGACGGUCGCAAAUUACACUGCUUAAGUGAAAUUCAUUGUAUUCCCAUCAAGUGACAUUGAACAGUGAUAAUGGGAAACUAGGGCCAAUUCUGGGCACAAUACCAAACUAUUUUGACCUGGGACUUUGGGACCGAUAAUCUUAUAUAACAACUUUGUACAUAGUUUUAAUUAACAAUAACUUUUGUUUGGAGGAGCGUUCGGUUAUAAUGUUGAUGUAUUGAGGAUUAGAGUAUUGAUUUAUGGUUUGUAUAACCACGAAGUGGUUAGCGUUGAUACUGGUUAGAAAUAUACAGAAAGAAUUUAAUAAUGUAUGUGUGCCUAUGACAAAUUUUGUUGUCUUUUUUAUUUUUCACACCAUCACUCACGUAUACUUUUUCCUGUACCAUUAGUAAGAGUUUGUUUUAUGUUGAACAAAACGAGACCGUGUUCGGCACUCUGAUUGGUUGGUUCAUUCACACGGUUACGUUUUCGUUCGAAGCAAGCCCGUGCUAUAGGUGUUGCACACAAUUUUUUGUACACAUAGUAUUAUUUUUUGACAUAAAAAUACA